rnacentral:rRNA from 1 species
AUAAGCACUAUCAGCUGGAACUGUCGAGGGCUUGGGAACCCUCAGACAGUUCGAGAGCUUCGCAAGAUUGUGAAGCAAGAAGGUCCCGCCCUUCUGUGCAAUGAAACCAAGAUAAAGGGCAAAAGAGUGGAAGACCUGAAAUUCAGUUUAGGCUUCUCUGGUUGUUUUGCCAUCGAUAGUGACGGGCUUAGUGGUGGCAUCAGACUGUUUUGGUCUAGUGAUGUCGAUGUUAAUCUGAAAAAUUUCAGUUAA